rnacentral:rRNA from 1 species
AUCUAUUNCCAUACCACUCUGAACAUGUCCAAUCUUGUCAGAUCUGGAAAGCUAAGCAAAGUUGGGCAUGGUUAAUACUUGGAGAAAAUAUUGCCUGGAAAGAUUGUAAGGAAAGUC